rnacentral:rRNA from 1 species
GGGUUGUGAGGUUAAGCGACUAAGCGUACACGGUGGAUGCCCUGGCAGUCAGAGGCGAUGAAGGACGUGCUAAUCUGCGAUAAGCGUCGGUAAGGUGAUAUGAACCGUUAUAACCGGCGAUUUCCGAAUGGGGAAACCCAGUGUGUUUCGACACACUAUCAUUAACUGAAUCCAUAGGUUAAUGAGGCGAACCGGGGGAACUGAAACAUCUAAGUACCCCGAGGAAAAGAAAUCAACCGAGAUUCCCCCAGUAGCGGCGAGCGAACGGGGAGCAGCCCAGAGCCUGAAUCAGUGUGUGUGUUAGUGGAAGCGUCUGGAAAGGCGCGCGAUACAGGGUGACAGCCCCGUACACAAAAAUGCACAUAUUGUGAGCUCGAUGAGUAGGGCGGGACACGUGGUAUCCUGUCUGAAUAUGGGGGGACCAUCCUCCAAGGCUAAAUACUCCUGACUGACCGAUAGUGAACCAGUACCGUGAGGGAAAGGCGAAAAGAACCCCGGCGAGGGGAGUGAAAAAGAACCUGAAACCGUGUACGUACAAGCAGUGGGAGCACGCUUAGGCGUGUGACUGCGUACCUUUUGUAUAAUGGGUCAGCGACUUAUAUUCUGUAGCAAGGUUAACCGAAUAGGGGAGCCGAAGGGAAACCGAGUCUUAACUGGGCGUUAAGUUGCAGGGUAUAGACCCGAAACCCGGUGAUCUAGCCAUGGGCAGGUUGAAGGUUGGGUAACACUAACUGGAGGACCGAACCGACUAAUGUUGAAAAAUUAGCGGAUGACUUGUGGCUGGGGGUGAAAGGCCAAUCAAACCGGGAGAUAGCUGGUUCUCCCCGAAAGCUAUUUAGGUAGCGCCUCGUGAAUUCAUCUCCGGGGGUAGAGCACUGUUUCGGCAAGGGGGUCAUCCCGACUUACCAACCCGAUGCAAACUGCGAAUACCGGAGAAUGUUAUCACGGGAGACACACGGCGGGUGCUAACGUCCGUCGUGAAGAGGGAAACAACCCAGACCGCCAGCUAAGGUCCCAAAGUCAUGGUUAAGUGGGAAACGAUGUGGGAAGGCCCAGACAGCCAGGAUGUUGGCUUAGAAGCAGCCAUCAUUUAAAGAAAGCGUAAUAGCUCACUGGUCGAGUCGGCCUGCGCGGAAGAUGUAACGGGGCUAAACCAUGCACCGAAGCUGCGGCAGCGACGCUUAUGCGUUGUUGGGUAGGGGAGCGUUCUGUAAGCCUGCGAAGGUGUGCUGUGAGGCAUGCUGGAGGUAUCAGAAGUGCGAAUGCUGACAUAAGUAACGAUAAAGCGGGUGAAAAGCCCGCUCGCCGGAAGACCAAGGGUUCCUGUCCAACGUUAAUCGGGGCAGGGUGAGUCGACCCCUAAGGCGAGGCCGAAAGGCGUAGUCGAUGGGAAACAGGUUAAUAUUCCUGUACUUGGUGUUACUGCGAAGGGGGGACGGAGAAGGCUAUGUUGGCCGGGCGACGGUUGUCCCGGUUUAAGCGUGUAGGCUGGUUUUCCAGGCAAAUCCGGAAAAUCAAGGCUGAGGCGUGAUGACGAGGCACUACGGUGCUGAAGCAACAAAUGCCCUGCUUCCAGGAAAAGCCUCUAAGCAUCAGGUAACAUCAAAUCGUACCCCAAACCGACACAGGUGGUCAGGUAGAGAAUACCAAGGCGCUUGAGAGAACUCGGGUGAAGGAACUAGGCAAAAUGGUGCCGUAACUUCGGGAGAAGGCACGCUGAUAUGUAGGUGAAGUCCCUUGCGGAUGGAGCUGAAAUCAGUCGAAGAUACCAGCUGGCUGCAACUGUUUAUUAAAAACACAGCACUGUGCAAACACGAAAGUGGACGUAUACGGUGUGACGCCUGCCCGGUGCCGGAAGGUUAAUUGAUGGGGUUAGCGCAAGCGAAGCUCUUGAUCGAAGCCCCGGUAAACGGCGGCCGUAACUAUAACGGUCCUAAGGUAGCGAAAUUCCUUGUCGGGUAAGUUCCGACCUGCACGAAUGGCGUAAUGAUGGCCAGGCUGUCUCCACCCGAGACUCAGUGAAAUUGAACUCGCUGUGAAGAUGCAGUGUACCCGCGGCAAGACGGAAAGACCCCGUGAACCUUUACUAUAGCUUGACACUGAACAUUGAGCCUUGAUGUGUAGGAUAGGUGGGAGGCUUUGAAGUGUGGACGCCAGUCUGCAUGGAGCCGACCUUGAAAUACCACCCUUUAAUGUUUGAUGUUCUAACGUUGACCCGUGAUCCGGGUUGCGGACAGUGUCUGGUGGGUAGUUUGACUGGGGCGGUCUCCUCCUAAAGAGUAACGGAGGAGCACGAAGGUUGGCUAAUCCUGGUCGGACAUCAGGAGGUUAGUGCAAUGGCAUAAGCCAGCUUGACUGCGAGCGUGACGGCGCGAGCAGGUGCGAAAGCAGGUCAUAGUGAUCCGGUGGUUCUGAAUGGAAGGGCCAUCGCUCAACGGAUAAAAGGUACUCCGGGGAUAACAGGCUGAUACCGCCCAAGAGUUCAUAUCGACGGCGGUGUUUGGCACCUCGAUGUCGGCUCAUCACAUCCUGGGGCUGAAGUAGGUCCCAAGGGUAUGGCUGUUCGCCAUUUAAAGUGGUACGCGAGCUGGGUUUAGAACGUCGUGAGACAGUUCGGUCCCUAUCUGCCGUGGGCGCUGGAGAACUGAGGGGGGCUGCUCCUAGUACGAGAGGACCGGAGUGGACGCAUCACUGGUGUUCGGGUUGUCAUGCCAAUGGCACUGCCCGGUAGCUAAAUGCGGAAGAGAUAAGUGCUGAAAGCAUCUAAGCACGAAACUUGCCCCGAGAUGAGUUCUCCCUGACUCCUUGAGAGUCCUGAAGGAACGUUGAAGACGACGACGUUGAUAGGCCGGGUGUGUAAGCGCAGCGAUGCGUUGAGCUAACCGGUACUAAUGAACCGUGAGGCUUAACCUUACAACGCCGAAG